AAGAAGGUGGUUUCAGCCUGGGAAGGCUGUGCUGCUUCCUCAUUUCCACUUGGAAGGGUGCCAUCUUUUAUCUUCGCAGACCUGACAUGGAGAGUCAGGUCAGCAUGGGCUGUCAGCAUAUGGCCUUGGCUAGCCUUGUCUAGGCCGGGUUCUCUUUUCAACUUGUCUGGGAGGAGAGGAUGGAGAUGGAUGUGUGAGUGAAAGGAAAUGCUCGUGAAGCAAGGCGAGGCCGCUCCAUCAUCACCACGGCUCCUGUGUGCACGGGAAAGCUCAGCCCUCUCACCACCAACAGCUGGAGGAGAUAAUUCAUGUUCCAGGAGUGGUGGGCAGCCCGUGGGCCCACGGGCAGAUGAUGGAUUUGCACCUCCAAAGCAGGUCACAUUUAGGAAAAAGAUUCUUAAAUAUUUCUUUGGAAGUAAACUGGUGCCAUUUCCAAAUUGAUGCAUCAAACAUUCUCGUGCCUGAAUUUGUGCACAAAUAUCAUGUGAAUGUUUUACUUUUAUCAAGUCUGUCUUCUGGGAGGGAGUCGUGGUAUGAACAUAAGUUGCUAAGCUGAAGACAGGCGUUUUAAAGAUAAAUGGUAAACCUGAACUGGAAAUCCAUCUGGCCGGCUGCCUGCUCUAAUGAAUAACCCCACUUUGGCGCGUGCAAUGUAAGCAGAAAGUUCUCUACCGGCCUCUUUCGUCUGUCAUGAAUCUACGAGACAGCCGACAUAAUAUCUGGGCGACAACGGUGCGCUAACAGCGCAUUUACAGCUGACUUUACUCUUCUGUGCCUCUGUGUCCUCGUUUCUAAAAUGGAGCUCAUCUCAAAGUUUUUGCUUAAAAGAAGUCCUGACGCAAGCGGUGUCCUCUGGGUGAUGAUUAUAUGUCAAUGGCCUGUGUUGGUUGCUCUGCAUAUGCAACCCUAUUUAAUUCUCACCAAAUCCUGGAGCUGAAACUCAGAGAAAGUAGACUUUUCUGAAGAUUACACAGCUAAGAAAUAUGGGAAAAUGGAUUCAGACUCAGAUCUGCCUCGUUCUGAAGCUUACUUUCUUCUCAAUGCACUGAACUGUAUCAAGGAUGUUUCUUGGAAGGCAGACUGAUGGGUGCAAGAGUGAAGAGGAGGAAUUGCAAGAUGAAAUUCCAUGCGCUUGACAAGCAUUUAUCAAACCUGAAUUUAUUUCCUGAUUACAAAAGAAUUCCAUGUUACUGGUAGAAUUAGGAAACUGUAAAGGAAUCACCAGUUAUACAAUCAGACAGAGCUAGCUACUGUUAAUGUUUUUCUAAUUAUCUUUUCUUCAAAUAUGUACAUAUAUAUAGUGUUUAUCUAAUUAAAAUUAGAUAUUUUUUGUAAUCUGAUGUCUGAAUUAAUAACAUAUCACAACAUUUUAUCUCAUGUUCUCUUU